CGGCGCCUGGCUGUGCGAGUCCAGUUCUCAGAGCCCGGCGGCUUGCCCAGCCCGGGUCCCGGCCUGCCGGGAGCGUGUGGCAGGAGGGGACUAUCACGAAGCUGGCUCGUUCCUCUGCCCGAGGGGAGGCUGACUCACUCUUCACACCAUGGAGUGGACUGGAGGAGGUCAGGCUGCCGUGGAAGAGAGAUGAGGGAACUGAGGCCCAGAGAAGCGAAGUGACUCACCC